rnacentral:rRNA from 1 species
AGUGAACGCUGGCGGUAGGCCUAACACAUGCAAGUCGAACGGCAGCACAGUAAGAGCUUGCUCUUAAGGGUGGCGAGUGGCGGACGGGUGAGGAAUACAUCGGAAUCUACUUUUUCGUGGGGGAUAACGUAGGGAAACUUACGCUAAUACCGCAUACGACCUACGGGUGAAAGCAGGGGAUCUUCGGACCUUGCGCGAUUGAAUGAGCCGAUGUCGGAUUAGCUAGUUGGCGGGGUAAAGGCCCACCAAGGCGACGAUCCGUAGCUGGUCUGAGAGGAUGAUCAGCCACACUGGAACUGAGACACGGUCCAGACUCCUACGGGAGGCAGCAGUGGGGAAUAUUGGACAAUGGGCGCAAGCCUGAUCCAGCCAUACCGCGUGAGUGAAGAAGGCCUUCGGGUUGUAAAGCCCUUUUGUUGGGAAAGAAAAGCAGCAGGUUAAUACCCCGCUGUUCUGACGGUACCCAAAGAAUAAGCACCGGCUAACUUCGUG